CCCUGGUUGUCAAUGCCCACCAGCCCCAGCCCCACGUGCCCCAGCAGCUCCCCUUCCCCUGGUUGUCAAUGCCCACCAGCCCCAGCCCCAGCCCCAGCCCCACGUGCCCCAGCAGCUCACCUUUCCCUGGUUGUCAAUGUCCACCAGCCCCGGCCCCGGCCCCGGCCCCGGCCCCGGCCGCAGCUCCACGUGCCCCAGCAGCUCACCUUCCCCUGGCUAUCAAUGCCCACCAGCCCCAGCCCCAGCCCCACAUGUCCCAGCAGCUCACCUUCCCCCGGUUGUCAAUGCCCACCAGCCCCAGCCCCAGCCCCACGUGCCCCAGCAGCUCGCCUUCCCCUGGUUGUCAAUACCCCCCAGCCCCAGCCCCAGCCCCAGCCCCACGUGCCCCAGCAGCUCGCCUUCCCCUGGUUGUCAAUGCCCAGCAGCUCACCUUCCCAUGGUUGUCAAUGCCCACCAAGCCGAGCCCCACAUGCCCCAGCAGCUCGCCUUCCUCUGGUUGUCAAUGCCCAGCAGCUCACCUUCCCAUGGUUGUCAAUGCCCACCAAGCCCAGCCCCACGUGCCCCAGCAGCUCACCUUCCCCUGGUUGUCAAUGCCCACCAGCCCCAGCCGCACGUGCCCCAGCAGCUCACCUUCCCC
rnacentral:lncRNA from 1 species